GGGCCCGCACAAGCGGUGGAGCAUGUGGUUUAAUUCGAUGAUACGCGAGGAACCUUACCAGGGCUUAAAUGUAGUGGGACAGGUCUAGAGAUAGACCCUUCUUCGGACUCAUUACAAGGUGCUGCAUGGUUGUCGUCAGCUCGUGCCGUGAGGUGUCAGGUUAAGUCCUAUAACGAGCGCAACCCCUAUCGUUAGUUGCCAGCGAGUAAUGUCGGGAACUCUAACGAAACUGCCAGUGCAAACUGUGAGGAAGGUGGGGAUGACGUCAAAUCAUCACGGCCCUUACGUCCUGGGCUACACACGUGCUACAAUGGCCGGUACAGAGAGCAGCCACUUCGCAAGAAGGAGCGAAUCCUUAAAACCGGUCUCAGUUCGGAUCGGGGUCUGCAACUCGGCCCCGUGAAGCUGGAAUCGCUAGUAAUCGGAUAU
rnacentral:rRNA from 1 species